AUUCACCUGCGGGGCGCAGCAGUGGGGAAUUUUGGACAAUGGGCGCAAGCCUGAUCCAGCUAUUCCGCGUGUGGGAUGAAGGCCCUCGGGUUGUAAACCACUUUUGUAGAGAACGAAAAGACACCUUCGAAUAAAGGGUGUUGCUGACGGUACUCUAAGAAUAAGCACCGGCUAACUACGUGCCAGCAGCCGCGGUAAUACGUAGGGUGCGAGCGUUAAUCGGAAUUACUGGGCGUAAAGGGUUCGCAGGCUGUUGAGUAAGACAGAUGUGAAAUCCCCGAGCUUAACUCGGUAAUGGCAUAUGU
rnacentral:rRNA from 1 species